AAGACCUUGUGCUUUUGGAGCGGCCGAUGCCUGAUUAGCUUGUUGGUAAGGUAAAAGCUUACCAAGGCUUCGAUCAGUAGCUGGUCUGAGAGGGCGACCAGCCACACUGGGACUGAGACACGGCCCAGACUCCUACGGGAGGCAGCAGUGGGGAAUUUUGGACAAUGGGGGCAACCCUGAUCCAGCCAUGCCGCGUGAGUGAAGAAGGCCUCCGGGUUGUAAAGCUCUUUCAGCCGGAACGAAACGGUUACGGAUAAUACCCGUGACUACUGACGGUACCGGAAGAAGAAGCACCGGCUAACUACGUGCCAGCAGCCGCGGUAAUACGUAGGGUGCAAGCGUUAAUCGGAAUUACUGGGCGUAAAGCGUGCGCAGGUGGUUUUGUAAGUCAGAUGUGAAAGCCCCGGGCUCAACCUGGGAACU
rnacentral:rRNA from 1 species